UAGGGAAUCUUCCACAAUGGGCGCAAGCCUGAUGGAGCAACACCGCGUGAGUGAAGAAGGGUUUCGGCUCGUAAAGCUCUGUUGUUAAAGAAGAACACGUAUGAGAGUAACUGUUCAUACGUUGACGGUAUUUAACCAGAAAGUCACGGCUAAAUACGUGCCAG
rnacentral:rRNA from 1 species